GAUGACGUGGCUUUCGGGGAUCUGUUGGGACUUUUUAGCUUUUUUUUUCUUUUGCAAAUACCCCUUGGAGAAGUUUUUCUUCUUUCCUGUGAUCCUCCAUUAUACUAUGUAAAAUCCCCAGUCGAUCCAUGUCCAAUUCCCCAUUCUAAACCCCCAAAUCCCUAAUGCUAACUCUCGCUCGCUCUCUCACACACAUACCCUCCCAAUUCCCUCGCGAUCAGCUUUGUCGCUCUCCUCCGCAGUCAAUUCCCUUCUCUCCGUUGUCUUAUGUACCAUAGUGGUUGCACUGAAGAUGGAACAUUGUUGACCAUGUCUUGGCUGCAUGCUCUCCAAGGCGGGGGUUGCAGCUCGUCCAACAACCAAGUAAGAUUUCUACGUACUGAUUGUUCCCACCUCUUGUUGCUCGUUUUUGUUUUGCACUGACAACUAUUUUAUUCCCAGCUUUGCUAGAGCGAAUUUUACGAUGAUGAUCUUGUGCAUUAUAUUGGUGAGGAGGUAACUAGCUUCAGUAGGCUGAAUGUAUUUGGUAAAUUUGUGUA
rnacentral:lncRNA from 1 species